GUAGUCAUAUGCUUGUCUCAAAGAUUAAGCCAUGCAUGUCUAAGUAUAAGCAAUUAUACGGCGAAACUGCGAAUGGCUCAUUAUAUAAGUUAUCGUUUAUUUGAUAGCACCUUUUUACUCGGAUAACUGUGGUAAUUCUAGAGCUAAUACGUGCUGAAAAUCCCGACUUCGGAAGGGCUGUAUUUAUUAGAUUCAAAACCAAUGCCCUUCGGGGCUUCAUGGUGAUUCAUAAUAACUGCUCGAAUCGCAUGGCCUUGCGCCGGCGAUGGUUCAUUCAAAUUUCUUCCCUAUCAACUUUCGAUGCGAGGGUCUUGUCCUCGCAUGGUUACAACGGGUAACGGAGGGUUAGGGCUCGACCCCGGAGAAGGAGCCUGAGAAACGGCUACUACAUCCAAGGAAGGCAGCAGGCGCGCAAAUUACCCAAUCCCGACACGGGGAGGUAGUGACAAUAAAUACUGAUACAGGGCUCUUUUGGGUCUUGUAAUCGGAAUGAGUACUAUUUAAAUCCCAUAACGAGGAACAAUUGGAGGGCAAGUCUGGUGCCAGCAGCCGCGGUAAUUCCAGCUCCAAUAGCGUAUAUUAAAGUUGUUGUGGUUAAAAAGCUCGUAGUUGAACCUUGGGCCUGGCCUGUCAGUCCCCCUCACCGGGUGCACUGAUCUGGCCGGGUCUUUCCCUCCGCGGAACCCCAUGGCCUUCACUGGUCGUGGCGGGGAAACGGGACUUUUACUUUGAAAAAAUUAGAGUGCUCCAGGCAGGCCUAUGCUCGAAUACAUUAGCAUGGAAUAAUAAAAUAGGACGCGUGGUUCUAUUUUGUUGGUUUCUAGGACCGCCGUAAUGAUUAAUAGGGACAGUCGGGGGCAUCAGUAUUCAAUUGUCAGAGGUGAAAUUCUUGGAUCUAUUGAAGACUAACUACUGCGAAAGCAUUUGCCAAGGAUGUUUUCAUUGAUAAGGAACGAAAGUUAGGGGAUCGAAGACGAUCAGAUACCGUCGUAGUCUUAACUAUAAACUAUGCCGACUAGGGAUCGGACGAUGUUGUUUUUUGACUCGUUCGGCACCUUUCGAGAAAUCAAAGUGCUUGGGCUCCAGGGGGAGUAUGGUCGCAAGGCUGAAACUUAAAGGAAUUGACGGAAGGGCACCACCAGGGGUGGAACCUGCGGCUUAAUUUGACUCAACACGGGGAAACUCACCAGGUCCAGACACAGUGAGGAUUGACAGAUUGAUAGCUCUUUCUUGAUUCUGUGGGUGGUGGUGCAUGGCCGUUCUUAGUUGGUGGAGUGAUUUGUCUGCUUAAUUGCGAUAACGAACGAGACCUUAACCUGCUAAAUAGCCCAAUCUGCUCCGGCAGUUUGCUGGCUUCUUAGAGGGACUAUCGGCUCAAAGCCGAUGGAAGUUUGAGGCAAUAACAGGUCUUGUGAUGCCCUUAGAUGUCCUGGGCCGCACGCGCGGUUACACUGACAAAGCCAGCGAGUAUUUCCUUUGCCGGAAGGUCCGGGUAAUCUUGUUAAACUUUGUCGUGCUGGGGAUAGAGCAUUGCAAUUAUUGCUCUUCAACGAGGAAUCCCUAGUAAGCGCAAGUCAUCAGCUUGCGUUGAUUACGUCCCUGCCCUUUGUACACACCGCCCGUCGCUACUACCGAUUGAACGGCUCAGUGAGGUUUUCGGACUGGCCCAGGGAGGCGGGCAACUGCCACCCCGGGCCGGAAAGUUGCCCAAACUCGGUCGUUUAGAGGAAGUAAAAGUCGUAACAGAG
rnacentral:rRNA from 1 species